rnacentral:tRNA from 1 species
GUUAUUGUAGCUUAUCACAAAGCAUGACACUGAAGAUGUCAAGAUGGGAACUAAUCCACCCCAAAAACA